rnacentral:rRNA from 1 species
CGGACGGGUGAGUAAUGUCUGGGAAACUGCCUGAUGGAGGGGGAUAACUACUGGAAACGGUAGCUAAUACCGCAUAACGUCGCAAGACCAAAGAGGGGGGCCUUCGGGCCUCUUGCCAUCGGAUGUGCCCAGAUGGGAUUAGCUAGUAGGUGGGGUAAAGGCUCACCUAGGCGACGAUCCCUAGCUGGUCUGAGAGGAUGACCAGCCACACUGGAACUGAGACACGGUCCAG